AAACUCAAAUGAAUUGACGGGACCCGCGACAAGCAGCGGAGCGUGUGGUUUAAUUCGAUGCUACACGAAGAACCUUACCAGGGUUUGACAUGCAAAUGGUAGGAAACUGAAAAGGGACCGACCCUUCGGGGAGCUUGCACAGGUGCUGCAUGGCUGUCGUCAGCUCGUGUCGUGAGAUGUUCGGUUAAGUCCGCUAACGAGCGCAACCCUCACUGUGUGUUAUAUGUGUCACACGGGACUGCCGGUUUUAAGCCGGAGGAAGGUGGGAUGACGUCAAGUCAGCAUGGCCUUUAUAUCCUGGGCUACACACACGCUACAAUGGUCGGUACAAUAGGUUGCCAAGCCGCGAGGCGGAGCCAAUCCAAAAAAGCCGGCCUCAGUUCAGAUUGUAGGCUGCAACUCGCCUGCAUGAAGAUGGAGUUGCUAGUAACCGCAGGUCAGCAAUACUGCGGUGAAUACGUUCCCGGGUCUU
rnacentral:rRNA from 1 species